UUGGAGGGCAAGUCUGGUGCCAGCAGCCGCGGUAAUUCCAGCUCCAAUAGCGUAUAUUAAAGUUGUUGCAGUUAAAAAGCUCGUAGUUGAAUUUCGGGAUACAGUUGUGCGCUCGUGUGUACUGGCUAUUGGUUUCUCCUUCUGAGAACCUGAUGUCAUUAAUUUGGUGUCUUGGGGAAUCAGGACUGUUACUUUGAAAAAAUUAGAGUGUUUAAAGCAAGCAUACGCUUGAAUACAUUAGCAUGGAAUAAUGAAAUAGGACGUUUGAUUCUAUUUUGUUGGUUUCUAGGAUCGACGUAAUGAUUAAUAGGGAUAGUUGGGGGCAUUAGUAUUCAAUUGUCAGAGGUGAAAUUCUUGGAUUUAUUGAAGACUAACUACUGCGAAAGCAUUUGCCAAGGAUGUUUUCAUUAAUCAAGAACGAAAGUUAGGGGAUCGAAGACGAUCAGAUACCGUCGUAGUCUUAACCAUAAACUAUGCCGACUAGGGAUCGGAUGAUGUUAAUUUUU
rnacentral:rRNA from 1 species